CAACGCGAAGAACCUUACCAAAUCUUGACAUCCUUUGACCGCUCUAGAGAUAGAGUCUUCCCCUUCGGGGGACAAAGUGACAGGUGGUGCAUGGUUGUCGUCAGCUCGUGUCGUGAGAUGUUGGGUUAAGUCCCGCAACGAGCGCAACCCUUAAGCUUAGUUGCCAUCAUUAAGUUGGGCACUCUAGGUUGACUGCCGGUGACAAACCGGAGGAAGGUGGGGAUGACGUCAAAUCAUCAUGCCCCUUAUGAUUUGGGCUACACACGUGCUACAAUGGAUAAUACAAAGGGCAGCGAAUCCGCGAGGCCAAGCAAAUCCCAUAAAAUUAUUCUCAGUUCGGAUUGUAGUCUGCAACUCGACUACAUGAAGCUGGAAUCGCUAGUAAUCGUAGAUCAGCAUGCUACGGUGAAUACGUUCCCGGGUCUUGUACACACCGCCCGUCACACCACGAGAGUUUGUA
rnacentral:rRNA from 2 species